rnacentral:rRNA from 1 species
CUCUUCUUGAAUAUAUUUUGAUGUAUGGCCUGCCCACUGAAUAUUGAAGGGCCGCGGUAUUUUGACCGUGCAAAGGUAGCAUAAUCAUUAGUCUUUUAAUUGUAGGCUGGAAUGAAUGGUUUGACGAGGUGUUAACUGUCUUUAUUUUUUUUUUGAACUUAAAUUUUAGGUUAAAAUGCCUAAAUGUUUUUUUGGGACGAGAAGACCCUAUAGAGUUUUAUAUAUUUUUAUUUUUUUUGUAUGAGAAUUUCUAAUGUAAAAAUUUAUUUUGUUGGGGUGAUGGAAAGAUUUAAUUAACUCUUUUUAUUUAUUUUAUAUUUAUUUAUAUGUAUUUGAUCCAUUUAUAUUGAUUAUAAGACUAAAUUACC